rnacentral:lncRNA from 1 species
AGGGGACCCUGCAUCACCUACAAUGAAGACAAUGGUGUCAUCAAGAUCUUCGUUUAAAAAAAAAAUCCUUGGAAUUGCUCUGCUUAAUGUGAGCAGACUGCUCCUGCUCCUGGUGGACAUGGGAGAGCUACAUUUGUACUUACAGUGCUUUCUGGAAGUUAGGUGAAUUAUUUGCCACUUGGUUUAAAACUGUUUUCCUCAAGAAUAAUGAUAGAUUUCCCAUGUACAAGAAGAUCAGUACAGACCUCAGCAGAAUCUUGAGAAGUCCAGAGAGCCAAAGAGCCCUGCAAACAACACACACUGAUUCAUCAGACUCCUGAACAAGAAUCUACUAAGAACCUGGGAAUCUUAUUGAACUAAACCCACACACAAGGACCCCGCAACAGAACACAGUCCUCACUAAGCCAGACAAAGUCUGGGUGAAGAAAGUAGGGGCCUCAACAAAAGCAAAUCAG